rnacentral:tRNA from 1 species
GCUAGUGUGGCAGAGCCCGGCAAAUGCAA